GACGAACGCUGGCGGCGUGCUUAACACAUGCAAGUCGAGCGAUGAAGCUUCUUCGGAAGUGGAUUAGCGGCGGACGGGUGAGUAACACGUGGGUAACCUGCCUCAUAGAGGGGAAUAGCCUUCCGAAAGGAAGAUUAAUACCGCAUAAGAUUGUAAUAUCGCAUGAUAUAGCAAUUAAAGGAGUAAUCCGCUAUGAGAUGGACCCGCGUCGCAUUAGCUAGUUGGUGAGGUAACGGCCCACCAAGGCGAAGAUGCGUAGCCGACCUGAGAGGGUGAUCGGCCACAUUGGGACUGAGACACGGCCCAGACUCCUACGGGAGGCAGCAGUGGGGAAUAUUGCACAAUGGGGGAAACCCUGAUGCAGCAACGCCGCGUGAGUGAUGACGGUCUUCGGAUUGUAGAGCUCUGUCUUCAGGGACGAUAAUGACGGUACCUGAGGAGGAAGCCACGGCUAACUACGUGCCAGCAGCCGCAGUAA
rnacentral:rRNA from 1 species